GCCGCUGCGAACUGUAGCGUAUAGGUGCGAUCUUCUAGUUGUGCUGCUAGUCCGAAGUCCCUUUGAUAGGGGCCACAGYCCUAARAGGGUGCGAGACCUGUACGGACGGCGGCGCAUCUAGUAUCUUCGUUCCUUGGAGUCGGGUUGCUUGAAAGUGCAGCCUAAAGUUGGUGAUAAACUUCAUCAAAGGCUAAAUAUAGAUGCGAAUUCGAUAGCAAACAAGUACCGUGAGGGAAAGUUGCAAAGAACUUUGAAGAGAGAGUUCAAGAGAACGUGAAAUCCUAGCGGUUGAAGCGGAGAGAGUUGACGUAGCUCGGCGGCUAAGCUUACUGUUGCUUCUUCGGAGGCUUCGGUUUGUGAUGUCCGCUUAUAGCUGCGCUGGUAGCGUUGUUCGAGCUUUCUGACCUGGUUAGUGUUGCCCACUUCGGKGGUGUCUUGCUACCGGCGAGGUCUGCCGUAUUAACGUUUAACUUGCCUUACGGUGAGUACCAGUGUGAAGGUCAGCCACCUUUCCGACCCGUCUUGAAACACGGACCGAGGAGUGUAACUUGUACGCGAGUCARAGGGUGGAAAACCCUACGGCGCAAUGAAAGUAAAGGUCGG
rnacentral:rRNA from 1 species